AUGGCCAUUUCUCGAUCAGCACUGUCAGGCGGAGUGGCCCCGAAAGCUUUUCAGUUGCGCGCCUGGAUACAAGGUCGCGAGGUCCUGAUGCUUGUGGAUUCGGGCAGCUCUACUUCAUUCAUCAACCAAGAGCUCGCCAAAACGAUAGCGGGCACGCAGCAGCUGCCCCGCCCCUGCAGAGUACGUGUGGCAGAUGGAGGCGAAUUGCUCUGCACUGCGCAAGUGCCUCAAUGCGCAUGGACUACUCAGGGCAGUGAGUUUCGCACAGAUAUGAAGAUUCUAGCUCUGGGCACUUAUGAUGCAAUUCUGGGGAUGGAUUGGCUUGAAGCUCACAGCCCCAUGACAGUUGACUGGCGCGCCAAAUGCAUUCAGUUCAUGACAGCGGAGGGAGUGGCCUGUCUGCGCGGUCAUGAUUCUGACUCCCCUACUUGCCACUCCAUCAACUUCGUGCAGCUUCAGAGCAUGUGCAAAGCAGGGGCUGUGUCACAUAUCAUAUAUCUGUGCUUGGAGGAUCAGUCGUCGAACAAGAAAGAGGCUGUCCCAGCCUGUCUCCAAGAAGUACUGGCAGAGUUCCCAACUGUGUUUGGCGAACCAGAAGGACUGCCACCGAGGCAUGAAUGCGAUCACCGCAUUCCCCUAAUUCCUGGUGCGCAACCUAUCAACAUUCGUCCUUAUCGCCAUAAACCUGAUCAUAAGGAUGAAAUCGAUCGGCAAGUGGAAGAGCUUUUGAAGGCAGGCGUUAUUCAGAAGAGCUCCAGUCCGUUCUCCGCACCGGUGAUUUUGGUUAAGAAGAAGGACGGGACGUGGCGUUUAUGUGUGGAUUAUCGCCACCUUAACGCGCUGACAGUGGUGGGCAAGUAUCCAGUGCCAGUCAUAGAAGAGUUGCUGGAUGAAUUGCACGGCUCCCGCUGGUUUUCCAAGCUCGAUCUCAGAGCAGGGUAUCAUCAAAUUCGACUGGCUGAAGGAGAAGAGUACAAGACAGCAUUUCAGACUCAUGCAGGCCAUUACGAGUUCCUCGUGGUCUCAUCUGGAUUGGCCGGAGGCCCUGGCACGUUCAAUGGAGCAAUGCAUGGCACGUUACGGCUUGUCCUGCGUGAUGGAGUCCUGGUUUUCUUCGAUGAUAUCUUAGUGCACACUGAAACUCUGGAAGAACACAAGCUGAAGCUCAGAGAGGUCUUGGGUCUGCUACAGAAGGAUCAAUGGAAAGUUAAGGAAAGCAAGUGUGCUUUCGGGCAACAACAGCUCUCGUAUCUGGGACAUGUCAUCAGCGCAGAAGGGGUGUUGAUACGUCUCCAACAUAUCUAUAAUUUUUUAUUGCUCCAUGCUAUAUUAUCUUAUGUUUUGGACAUUAUUAGGCUUUAUUAUGCACUUUUAUAUUACUUUUGGGACUAA
rnacentral:rRNA from 1 species